GAUGAACGCUGGCGGCGUGCCUAAUACAUGCAAGUCGAGCGAACGGACGAGAAGCUUGCUUUUCUGAUGUUAGCGGCGGACGGGUGAGUAACACGUGGAUAACCUACCUAUAAGACUGGGAUAACUUCGGGAAACCGGAGCUAAUACCGGAUAAUAUUUUGAACCGCAUGGUUCAAAAGUGAAAGACGGUCUUGCUGUCACUUAUAGAUGGAUCCGCGCUGCAUUAGCUAGUUGGUAAGGUAACGGCUUACCAAGGCAACGAUGCAUAGCCGACCUGAGAGGGUGAUCGGCCACACUGGAACUGAGACACGGUCCAGACGCCUACGGGAGGCAGCAGUAGGGAAUCUUCCGCAAUGGGCGAAAGCCUGACGGAGCAACGCCGCGUGAGUGAUGAAGGUCUUCGGAUCGUAAAACUCUGUUAUUAGGGAAGAACAUAUGUGUAAGUAACUGUGCACAUCUGGACGGUACCUAAUCAGAAAGCCACGGCUAACUACGU
rnacentral:rRNA from 1 species